rnacentral:lncRNA from 1 species
CUUUUGCAGCAUAUCAUUAAUGUCACCUUCAUGCUCUUUUGAAUAUUCUAAACUGUACAAUGCACAUUGCAAAAGUCACAGGUUAACAUAGCUAUUGCAUAAAAAAUACAACUUUGUCGAGUAGAAUAAUUAAAAUGUCAAAUGUGUAGUAACAAUUGACAUAUAGGUGGUUUUGUUACCUGGGUAGUGAAUUAGCGGAGCUGUCUUUUGGACUGAUGUAGGUGGUGAAGGUGCUUGCGGUAAACCUAGUGAGCGUAGGCGCUGCUUGUUGGCUUCCUCAAGAUCUCCAGGUCGUACAAACCUUGAAUGACCCUUCACAACUAAUAAAAUGACAAUCAUAAAACUUCUUGAAGAUAAACUUGCUAAAAUUAAGCCAAUAAUAUAUCAAGAGUCAUAUUGUGAAAUUAGAGUGAGUUCUAGUAUGUCUCAUUUCCCUAAAUUGCUACUUUUUAUAUUAACUCUUAAAGAACCCAUUUUUAUAAUUCAUAGUUGAGAGAAAUUAAACACAGAGUACAAAGAAAACAAAAAUGAGAGAAUGUGAGGGACAUGUUACAACAUUGUAGGGUCUCCUCUAUAUCCUUUGUACUUAGAAAGAAAAAAAAAUAUAUCGUUUCAAUGGAAACAUUAAACAAGUCCUAAUUGCAUCAUAUCCUAUCUAACAAUAACACAACUUAUCCGAGGUUUUUUCGACCACUACCAAUCCCAACAAAACAUCCUAUAUCUAACAAAAUCCAAAAACAUUGAGAAGAGCAAAUAAUCAAAACAAAAAUCAUAUAAAUCCCCUUUCUAUUUCAAUUAAGUUUCUAAAUUCUUUCUAAACCAGUAACCUAAGCUUCAAAAAACAAAAUUUAGAGAGAAAUAGAGGGUUUACCUUGAGUUAUUGAUGAUGGAGAUGACUAAAACGUUGCAAACAAAGAACAAGGGUAGUUUUGAGCGAACCGUCACAGGUCUAGUGUCGCAAAGUACAAAAUUGUAGUGAUUAAUGGGGUUUUAGGGUUUGAUUGGAUUUGAUGAUCGGUGAUGGGUAUGAUUGAAUGGAUUGGAGGAAUGUUUUCAAGAUUGGNNNNNNNNNNNNNNNNNNNNNNNNNNNNNNNNNNNAUGAUGAGAGAGAGAGAGAGAGAGAGAGAGAGAGAGAGAGAGAGAGAGAGAAGAAGAGUGUUUUUG